rnacentral:tRNA from 1 species
GAGGGUGAAGCUUAGGAGUGGAGUGUGUGCUUAACAAGCACGAGGUCCUGGGUUCAAUCCCCAGUGCUUCCA